rnacentral:rRNA from 1 species
UGGGGAAUUUUCCGCAAUGGGCGCAAGCCUGACGGAGCAAUACCGCGUGAGGGAGGAAGGCCUUUGGGUUGUAAACCUCUUUUCUUAAGGAAGAAGAACUGACGGUACUUAAGGAAUCAGCAUCGGCUAACUCCGUGCCAGCAGCCGCGGUAAUACGGAGGAUGCAAGCGUUAUCCGGAAUUAUU